UCUCUCUCAAUUUCUAGAUCCCUUUUCUAGUUUCUAUUAACCCUAGAAAUGGAUUUAAACACUCUGAAAUCAGCUGCUGUUAUCAGAGAAAUCAAGUGCAGAGAAUUCUCCCACAAUCGAGCGCGCCUCCUCAAUUACUCUUCCGAAAUCAAUCUUUCAGGUAAAGGCAGACUUAACCUAAAAAGAGAUGGAAUAUAACUAGGUUGGAUGGAUGACUCUCCUCAUGCUGUUAGUGUUCAGCUGAAGCAGAUGUUUGGAUUUUAGACAUCAUAUCACUAAGUUGAAAUUUCAUUAUUUUAAACCUCUUUAAUGGUAAUUGUAUAAACAUUUUUCGAGAUGAAAAUCUUAUAUUACAUGAAAGAAUUGUGUGGUAGCAAUCUCAUUUUAAUAUAUAAUUAUUAGUUAU